rnacentral:piRNA from 1 species
UACACUACUUUUUUUUCUUCCUUCAGUUU